ACAACUCACAGCGAGCCACAAGUCCCGACCUCUCUCCGAUCCCCGCCGGCGCCGCUCACAGCCCCGGCCCGGAAUCCUGCCGGCGGCAUGCCGCGCGGCCGCGACGAGCCGGCCGCCGUGCGCGUCUACACAGUAUGCGACGAGUCCAAGUACCUCAUCGUCCGGAACGUGCCUUCUCUCGGGUGCGGCGACGAGCUCGGCACCCUGUUCUCGUCGUACGGGCCGCUGGAAGAGUGCAAGCCCAUGGAUGCCGAGGACUGCGAGGAGUACACCGACGUCUUCUUCAUCAACUUUUCGCAGCUCAGCAACGCGAGGUUCGCAAAAAGGAAGUUAGAUGAGUCUGUAUUUCUUGGCAACCGGCUGCAGGUGUCAUAUGCACCUCAAUUCGAGAGUAUUUUGGAUACCAAGGAGAAACUGGAAGUCCGGAGAAACGAAGUCCUCGGCCGAAUAAGAUCCUCUGUUGGAAGCAGAUCAGAACGGUUAACUCAGUAUUCUCCAGGGCAGGGAUCUUCUAGUGGGAACUUGCAUCAUCAUAUGAGCCCCAAUAAGAGAUUAUUAUUUCACAUGGAAUACACAAAGACACUUCAUGCUUCUCAUAUCGAAGAUGUUCGUUUCAGUCAUGUGUCCUCUAAUAAGGUAUGUAGUAGUAAUACAAUUUUCAGGCUGAAACCAAGUUGUCCAUUGAUGGAAAUUGGGCCAUUUGGUAAGCAGGCUAGAUCGUGCUUUAAGGGAAUUUUAUUUUUAGAAAAGCUAGGGAGAAGCUCUGGUCAACUAAGAUGCAUUACUGCUAGAAAGACAGCAUUAGUGCGCUUGCUCAUGCGAAGUACUCGGCGAGGGAAAAAUCCGUAACUAUUUGGAAUUGUGGAUAUCCUGCUAGGUGCAAUCUAGCUCAGCUCAUUAGUGCAGCACGUCAUCCAUUAGGAUUUUCCAACAAACCCCUUUUUACCUUUUCAUGGCUUGUGAUUUUCUUUCCUUUCAUGAAAUGCCUUUUGAUCAGUUUGUGGUGGACAUGCCUUUUGAUCGCAGGACUAUUUUCCAUCCGAGUCGAUGAAUGCAACUGUAAAUCUUGUGAGGCAGAAGCUUGAUAAGAUACAGUCUGGCAGUGAUGGUUCCAAUGCUGUAGCUGCGUCCAAGAAACCAAGGGUUGAUGACCGUAGGCGCAUUUGAAUCACUG